rnacentral:ncRNA from 1 species
GUGUUGUAUGAAAGGAGAGAAGUUAGCGCUCCCUUUGACAAGAAUGGAAGAGGCCAUCAGGCCUGACAACAUGCGUACAGUUAAGGCAUUGCCACCUACUUUGUGGCAUCUAACCAUCAUUUUUA